GACGAACGCUGGCGGCGUGCUUAACACAUGCAAGUCGAGCGGUAAGGCCUUUCGGGGUACACGAGCGGCGAACGGGUGAGUAACACAUGGGUGAUCUGCCCUGCACUCUGGGAUAAGCCUGGGAAACUGGGUCUAAUACUGGAUAUGACCUCAGCAUGCAUGUGCUGGGGUGGAAAGCUUUUGUGGUGCAGGAUGGGCCCGCGGCCUAUCAGCUUGUUGGUGGGGUAAUGGCCUACCAAGGCGACGACGGGUAGCCGACCGGAGAGGGUGACCGGCGACACUGGGACUGAGACACGGCCCACACUCCGAGGGGGGGGAGCAGGGGGGAAUAUUGCACAAGGGGCGGAAGCCUGAUGCCGCGCCGCCGCGUGGGGGAUGAAGGCCUGGGGGUUGAAAACCUUUUUCAGCGGGGACGAAGGGUGAGUGCCGGUACCUGCAGAAAAAGCCCCGGCUAAUUACGUGCCAGCAGCCGAGGUAA
rnacentral:rRNA from 1 species